rnacentral:rRNA from 1 species
GACGAACGCUGGCGGCGUGCUUAACACAUGCAAGUCGAACGAUGAAGGAGAGCUUGCUCUCCGGAUUAGUGGCGAACGGGUGAGUAACACGUGACUAACCUGCCCCUUUCUCUGGGAUAACGCUCCGAAAGGAGUGCUAAUACCGGAUACGAACUCUGAACACAUGUUCGGAGUUGGAAAGUUUUUCGGAAAGGGAUGGAGUCGCGGCCUAUCAGCUUGUUGGUGAGGGAAUGGCUCACCAAGGCGACGACGGGUAGCCGGCCUGAGAGGGCGACAGGCCACACUGGGACGGAGACACGGCCCAGACUCCUACGGGAGGCAGCAGUGGGGAAUAUUGCACAAUGGGCGAAAGCCUGAUGCAGCGACGACGCGUGAGGGAUGAAGGUCUUCGGAUUGUAAACCUCUUUCAGUAGGGACGAAGCGAAAGUGACGGUACCUAAAGAAGAAGCACCGGCUAACUACGUGCCAGCCGCCGCCGUAA